CAUUCCACGUUGAAAACAAGGGUUCUCGUUUGAUCACUGAAGUUAAGCAGCGUCAAGCUUGGUUUGUACUUAGAUGGGUGACCAAUUGUGAACACCAGAUACUGUA